UUCGGUGGUCAUAGCGCGUGGGAAACGCCCGGUUACAUUCCGAACCCGGAAGCUAAGCUGCGUAGCGCCGAUGGUACUGCAAGGGGGACCUUGUGGGAGAGUAGGAUGCCGCCGAAC
rnacentral:rRNA from 1 species